GACGAACGCUGGCGGCGUGCUUAACACAUGCAAGUCGAACGGAAAGGCCCUGCUUUUGCGGGGUGCUCGAGUGGCGAACGGGUGAGUAACACGUGAGUAACCUGCCCUUGACUUUGGGAUAAUUUCAGGAAACUGGGGCUAAUACCGGAUAGGAGCUCCUGCUGCAUGGUGGGGGUUGGAAAGUUUCGGCGGUUGGGGAUGGACUCGCGGCUUAUCAGCUUGUUGGUGGGGUAGUGGCUUACCAAGGCUUUGACGGGUAGCCGGCCUGAGAGGGUGACCGGCCACAUUGGGACUGAGAUACGGCCCAGACUCCUACGGGAGGCAGCAGUGGGGAAUAUUGCACAAUGGGCGGAAGCCUGAUGCAGCAACGCCGCGUGCGGGAUGACGGCCUUCGGGUUGUAAACCGCUUUCGCCUGUGACGAAGCGUGAGUGACGGUAAUGGGUAAAGAAGCACCGGCUAACUACGUG
rnacentral:rRNA from 1 species